rnacentral:tRNA from 1 species
GGAUGGUUGCCAGAGUGGUCUAAUGGACCGGUCUUGAAAACCGGCGUAUGCGUGAGUGUACCGGGGGUUCGAAUCCCUCACCAUCCGC